UGUAGGUUGCUUGCUCUUAACAAGCGGCUGUUUGGGAUUAAAGUUGGAAAUUUCUGUUACGUGAAGGAGGGACUUGUUCUUGGUCAGCUCACAGGAAAUCGAUUUACAAUUACUCUGAGGGGUGUUACUGCAGAAUCUGAAGACAUGAUAAAAAUUGCAGUAGAUGGUCUAGGAAAGAAUGGAUUUAUCAACUACUAUGGUUUGCAGGUAUUAUAUCCUCAAGUUUAAAACUAUUGCCCUGUUAUUUCUGAAGCUCAUCGAUUUUAUCUUUUCAUCUGGUUAGCAGUUUGGAAGUGGUUCAAUACCAACACAUCUUGUUGGGGCUGCUUUGCUUAGAGGAGAGUGGAAGGUUGCUGUAAACUUGAUUCUUGAUCCAAGGGA